CCUACGGGAGGCAGCAGUGGGGAAUAUUGGGCAAUGGGCGCAAGCCUGACCCAGCCACGCCGCGUGAAGGAAGAAGGCUUUCGGGUUGUAAACUUCUUUUAGUCGGGAAGAGCAGCACACGGUACCUCUUGCAUACACCACGGCUAACUACCUGCCAGCAGACGCGGUAAUACGUAGGUGGCAAGCGUUGUCCGGAGUUACUGGGUGUAAAGGGCGUGCAGCCGGGAAGGCAAGUCAGAUGUGAAAUCCCGCGGCUCAACCGCGGAACUGCAUUUGAAACUGUUUUUCUGGAGUACCGGAGAGGUGAUCGGAAUUCCAUGUGUAGCGGUGAAAUGCGUAGAGAUAAGGAAGAACACCAGUGGCGAAGGCGGAUGACUGGACGGCAACUGACGGUGAGGCGCGAAAGCGUGGGGAGCAAACAGGAUUAGAUACCCCAGUAGUC
rnacentral:rRNA from 1 species